rnacentral:lncRNA from 1 species
UCCAGUUUGAUUGUGAUCUCAAAAUCUUAUUCACGAUAUUUAUUUGAAUGAUAUUUUAUCAUAAUCAUCAUCAUCCAAGCUUUAUCCCAAUUAUUUGAAGAUCGGUUGCACGAAUUAUAUUCCACUAUUCUAUCAGGGUUUAUACCUUUAGUCAGAUCAUAAACUAUAACUUUAAUCACUACUUCAAUCUAUAUCAUUUUCGACCUUCUAUUACCCCUUUGGAGCCUUAAUCUAUUUUUGAAAUUUAUAAAAGUCUCCGAAUUUAUUUCACGUCGAAAGUCUAUUAAUAUGUCUUAGAAGAGAUUUUGAGUCCGUUAUAAACAUAAAAAUUCAUCCGGACAUAUUUUGG